rnacentral:rRNA from 1 species
UUUUGCAUAAUGAGCCUACGAGUCACCGUGGCCAGCGAGGGUAAGCAUUUCAGAUGCGCACCCGUAGCGAGAGCGAGUCUUAACAGGGCGAACUAGUUGGUCGAGGUGGACGCGAAACCGUGUGAUCUACCCUUGGGCAGGUUGAAGCUGUGGUAACACAUAGUGGAGGACCGAACCCGUUGACGUUGAAAAGUCUUGGGAUGACCUGAGGGUAGGGGUGAAAGGCCAAUCAAACUGAGAAAUAGCUCGUACUCCCCGAAAUGUAUUGAGGUACAGCGUCGGCGUCGAGGUCAGUGGAGGUAGAGCUACCGAUAGGACUAGGGGGUGUCAGAGCCUACCGAAUCCUGACGAACUCCGAAUGCCACUGGCUAUAGCCGGCAGUGAGGCCUGGGGUGCUA